rnacentral:piRNA from 1 species
UUUAAUAAGAGAGAGACACAGACAGAAAG